AAUAAUACAAUUUGAUAAAAAUAGAUUCAGUGCAGAAUCAUAACAAUUUUCAUAAAAUAAAAAAAUAUUUAUCAUAUCCUAACAACAGAUCAUUCAACUCCCUUGUUUCUCAAAAGGAAAAAGUCUUAAACAUUAACAAUAUUAGCACUCAAAUGACUUUUUCCUCAUCAUCACAAAUGUUAUCGUUGAUAAAAUCAACGAUAUUCUAGACCACAUCUUUUUUAUUUGUUUCUUCUUUUUCUUCUUUCUGUCCAUCUUUUUUGUCUUCUCCUUCUUCUUUGUCUGUUGCUUCUUCCUCUUCAUCUUCGGCCUCUUCUUCAACAAUUCGCCAUUGUCAAUUCAAACUACAAGUCUAUUAACAGAAACAAUUCAAUGCUCAAAUGAAAAAUUCAAAAUAAUUAAGAAUUAUCCCAUCAUUAAACAGUUCACAGCAUGAUGAACAAAAAAUUUUCAAUCAAACGUGUAGUAUCAAAACUCAACUAUUGCUACAAAUCAAACUAAUUAGCUAUUAAUUUUUUAAUUUUGACUAUUUCAUCAAUCGUAUUUUAAAAGAAUUUCAUACACCUAAAUAUUAAUUUCAUAGACCACAAGUCUACGGACAGAAACAGGUCACUGCUCGAAUCAAAUCGACAAAAUAAUUCAUAAAUUAUUAAUUAUCCCACCAUUCAACAUGCAAUGCUUAAAAAAUACUAGCACUAAAGCAAAAUUUCUUAACAAAAAUUUUAAAAUUCAACACCACCUAAAUAUUAAUUUCAUAGACCACAAGUCUAUGAACAGAAACAGGUCACUGCUAGAAUCAAAUAGCCAAAAUAACCCAUAAAUUAACAAUUAUCCCACCAUUCAACACUGUCGUGCUAAAAAAAUUAGAAAUAAAUCAAAAUUUCUUAACAAAAUUUUAAAAUUCAACACCGUGAUCGGCGAAAAAUGUAUCAAAACUGCCAAAUUAAAACUCAAUCAUUGCUUCAGAAUCAAACUAAUUACCUAUAAAUUUCUCAUAUUUUAACUAUUUAAUCAACCACAUUAGAAAAAAAUUUCUAUACUACAUCACUUCGAAACGGUUAACAAUAAAAAUCGAUAAAAUGGAUCUACAAAUAAUCGAAACUUGAUUUUAACUUACUUUAUAACGCAAAAAUGAGCCCUUUAUCACUGGAGAAGAAGAAAAAUAAAAAAUGGCAUUUGGGAGAAAAUUCUUGAGAGUAGAGGAAGAGUUGAAGUUGAAGAGGAGAGAGAGAAG
rnacentral:lncRNA from 1 species